rnacentral:rRNA from 1 species
AGAGUUUGAUCCUGGCUCAGGACGAACGCUGGCGGCGUGCUUAACACAUGCAAGUCGAACGGAAAGGCCCUUCGGGGUACUCGAGUGGCGAACGGGUGAGUAACACGUGGGUGAUCUGCCCUGCACUUUGGGAUAAGCCUGGGAAACUGGGUCUAAUACCGAAUAUGACCAUGCGCCUCCUGGUGUGUGGUGGAAAGCUUUUGCGGUGUGGGAUGGGCCCGCGGCCUAUCAGCUUGUUGGUGGGGUAAUGGCCUACCAAGGCGACGACGGGUAGCCGGCCUGAGAGGGUGACCGGCCACACUGGGACUGAGAUACGGCCCAGACUCCUACGGGAGGCAGCAGUGGGGAAUAUUGCACAAUGGGCGCAAGCCUGAUGCAGCGACGCCGCGUGAGGGAUGACGGCCUUCGGGUUGUAAACCUCGUUCAGCACAGACGAAGCGCAAGUGACGGUAUGUGCAGAAGAAGGACCGGCCAACUACGUGCCAGCAGCCGCGGUAAUACGUAGGGUCCGAGCGUUGUCCGGAAUUACUGGGCGUAAAGAGCUCGUAGGUGGUUUGUCGCGUUGUUCGUGAAAACUCACAGCUUAACUGUGGGCGUGCGGGCGAUACGGGCAGACUUGAGUACUGCAGGGGAGACUGGAAUUCCUGGUGUAGCGGUGGAAUGCGCAGAUAUCAGGAGGAACACCGGUGGCGAAGGCGGGUCUCUGGGCAGUAACUGACGCUGAGGAGCGAAAGCGUGGGGAGCGAACAGGAUUAGAUACCCUGGUAGUCC